UGCAGAUGAAUUACGGUGAAAGCCGUAAGCCGCAAGGCAUCUGUGAAGGUGCUGCAUGGUUGUCGUCAGCUCGUGCCGUGAGGUGCCGGCUUAAGUGCCAUAACGAGCGCAACCCUUGUUGUCAGUUACUAACAGGUUCCGCUGAGGACUCUGACAAGACUGCCAUCGUAAGAUGUGAGGAAGGUGGGGAUGACGUCAAAUCAGCACGGCCCUUACGUCCGGGGCUACACACGUGUUACAAUGGGGGGUACAGAGGGCCGCUACCACGCGAGUGGAUGCCAAUCCCCAAAACCUCUCUCAGUUCGGACUGGAGUCUGCAACCCGACUCCACGAAGCUGGAUUCGCUAGUAAUCGCGCAUCAGCCACGGCGCGGUGAAUACGUUCCCGGGCCUCGUACACACCGCCCGUCAAGCCAUGGGAGCCGGGGGUACCUGAAGUGCGUAACCGCGAGGAGCGCCCUAGGGUAAAACUGGUGACUGGGGCUAAGUCGUAACAAGGUAGCCGUACCGGAAGGUGCGGCUGGAUCACCUC
rnacentral:rRNA from 1 species